CGCUGGCGGCGUGCUUAACACAUGCAAGUCGAACGGUGAACACGGAGCUUGCUCUGUGGGAUCAGUGGCGAACGGGUGAGUAACACGUGAGCAACCUGCCCCUGACUCUGGGAUAAGCGCUGGAAACGGCGUCUAAUACUGGAUACGAGUAGCGACCGCAUGGUCAGUUACUGGAAAGAUUUAUUGGUUGGGGAUGGGCUCGCGGCCUAUCAGCUUGUUGGUGAGGUAAUGGCUCACCAAGGCGUCGACGGGUAGCCGGCCUGAGAGGGUGACCGGCCACACUGGGACUGAGACACGGCCCAGACUCCUACGGGAGGCAGCAGUGGGGAAUAUUGCACAAUGGGCGCAAGCCUGAUGCAGCAACGCCGCGUGAGGGAUGACGGCCUUCGGGUUGUAAACCUCUUUUAGCAGGGAAGAAGCGAAAGUGACGGUACCUGCAGAAAAAGCGCCGGCUAACUACGUGCCAGCAGCCGCGGUAAUACGUAGGGCGCAAGCGUUAUCCGGAAUUAUUGGGCGUAAAGAGCUCGUAGGCGGUUUGUCGCGUCUGCUGUGAAAUCCGGAGGCUCAACCUCCGGCCUGCAGUGGGUACGGGCAGACUAGAGUGCGGUAGGGGAGAUUGGAAUUCCUGGUGUAGCGGUGGAAUGCGCAGAUAUCAGGA
rnacentral:rRNA from 1 species